rnacentral:rRNA from 1 species
UACGUAGGGGGCAAGCGUUGUCCGGAACCAUUGGGCGUAAAGAGCGCGUAGGCGGCCCUGUAAGUCCGCUGUGAAAGUCAAGGGCUCAACCCUUGGAUGCCGGUGGAUACUGCAGGGCUAGAGUCCGGAAGAGGCGAGUGGAAUUCCUGGUGUAGCGGUGAAAUGCGCAGAUAUCAGGAGGAACACCGAUGGCGAAGGCAGCUCGCUGGGACGGUACUGACGCUGAGGCGCGAAAGCGUGGGGAGCGAACAGG